CGUGAGGGAGGAGGCUCUUGGGUCGUAAACCUCUUUUCUCAGGGAAGAAACAAUGACGGUACCUGAGGAAUAAGCAUCGGCUAACUCCGUGCCAGCAGCCGCGGUAAUACGGAGGAUGCAAGCGUUAUCCGGAAUGAUUGGGCGUAAAGCGUCCGCAGGUGGCAAUGUAAGUCUGCUGUUAAAGAGUCUAGCUCAACUAGAUAAGAGCAGUGGAAACUACAUAGCUAGAGUACGUUCGGGGCAGAGGGAAUUCCUGGUGUAGCGGUGAAAUGCGUAGAGAUCAGGAAGAACACCAGUGGCGAAGGCGCUCUGCUAGGCCGUAACUGACACUGAGGGACGAAAGCUAGGGGAGCGAAUGGGAUUAGAUACCCCCGGUAAAGGAUGGAUACUAGGCGUG
rnacentral:rRNA from 1 species